AGCCCAACCUCCCCACCCGUGUUUACUGUACCUUAGUUGCUUCGGCGGGCCCGCCAUUCAUGGCCGCCGGGGGCUCUCAGCCCCGGGCCCGCGCCCGCCGGAGACACCACGAACUCUGUCUGAUCUAGUGAAGUCUGAGUUGAUUGUAUCGCAAUCAGUUAAAACUUUCAACAAUGGAUCUCUUGGUUCCGGCAUCGAUGAAGAACGCAGCGAAAUGCGAUAACUAGUGUGAAUUGCAGAAUUCCGUGAAUCAUCGAGUCUUUGAACGCACAUUGCGCCCCCUGGUAUUCCGGGGGGCAUGCCUGUCCGAGCGUCAUUGCUGCCCAUCAAGCACGGCUUGUGUGUUGGGUCGUCGUCCCCUCUCCGGGGGGGACGGGCCCCAAAGGCAGCGGCGGCACCGCGUCCGAUCCUCGAGCGUAUGGGGCUUUGUCACCCGCUCUGUAGGCCCGGCCGGCGCUUGCCGAACGCAAAUCAAUCUUU
rnacentral:rRNA from 1 species